AGGUGGGGCGUCAUGGCGGCUUCUUGCCCGCUCCCGGUGACCCAGGACCUGUCCACGUUACGUGCCAAGUUGCAGAAGCUACUGCGGUUCCUGAGGGAAGCCCUGCCCAUUUCGAAUGCACAUACGGUGGACUUCUACACGGAAUCUGUGUGGGAGAAACUGGUUGACUCGCCCCCAGAGACGGUGCUGUCGGCGCUCAGGACGUCCGCGGCGGCGUCAGAGGCGUGCCCCCUAGAGGAAGCCGGGAGAAUGUCAGAAGUUACUGAUUUUCCAAAAAUAUUUUGUGAAACGUCCCAAAAGCUGGUGAAUGUGGAAGCGUUUGCUCUGGCUGCAAAGUGUUAUUCUGUACAAAACUUGGGGAUAUGUACUCCUUUUGAUCAACUGCUUGUGGCCCUUCAUGGAAAUCAAAAACAGAAAACUGAUGAGAAUGUGAAACUUGAUGAGUUUAUGAAUUUGAAAAAAUCUCACGAAGUUCAGGCAAUGUCAGAACUCAUCAGCAGUAUUGCUGAAUACUGUGGAAUAAAGCAGAUAAUUGACCUGGGUUCUGGUAAAGGCUACCUAAGCUCCUUUUUGUCCUUAAAGUACGGCUUAAAAGUUUAUGGAAUCGAUUCCUCAAAUACUCAUGGAGCUGAGGAGAGAAACAGGAAACUGAAGAAACAUUGGAAAGUCUAUCGUAGGCGGUCAAAGCCAGAUGUCAGUGGACUGGCAUUACAAACAACGAAAGAAAGGAAAGUGCAAGAUGAAACUAAAUGUAAAGCAGACAUUGAGGGAAUAUGUAACAACAGUAAUGCAAAUCAAGAAAAGCCAUCAACCUCAGACUUUUUAUCAGAGUUUUCGGGUUCUGUGAUUUCUGACAUCAGAAGACAAAUGGAAAACCUAAAGGUUUAUUCACACCGAGAGGAAAAUUUGUGUUUUGAAAAUGCCUUUUCUCUUAGAGAACUUUUGCCUGUUAAUGCCAUAGAACCUAAUUCCUCAUCCCAAAUACCUAAAAGAAAAAUGUCUGAAACAAGUAAAGAGAGAAGAAAAAUUACUUCGAAGUCAAAUGAAUCAAAUAUAUAUUCACCUUUAACAUCUAUUAUCACUGCUGAUUCGGAACUGCAUGAUAUUAUUAAAGAUCUGGAGGAUUGUUUGAUGGUAGGUCUACAUACUUGUGGUGAUCUUGCUCCAAAUACUCUGCGAAUAUUCACUUCCAAGUCUGAAGUCAAAGGAGUUUGCAGCGUGGGUUGCUGCUAUCACCUCUUAUCUGAAGAGUUUGAAAACCCACAUAAAGAAUAUACCCAAGAAAGGCGGGGAUUUCCAAUGUGCCACUAUUUGAAGGAAGAGAAAUGGUGCUGUGGCCGUAAUGCCAGAAUGUCAGCCUGUUUGGCCCUGGAGCGGGUUGCAGUUGGCCAAGGGCUACCUACUGAGUCCCUCUUCUAUCGUGCCGUACUCCAGGAUAUUAUUAAAGAGUGUUAUGGCAUCACCAAAUGUGACCGGCAUGUUGGUAAAAUUUAUUCCAAAUCCUCCUCCUUUCCGGAUUAUGUCAGAAAGUCUCUAAAGAAGCUUGGGUUAGAUGAGUCCAAGCUGCCAGAAAAAAUUAUAAUGGACUACUACGAGAAAUAUAAACCUAGAAUGAAUGAACUGGAGGCUUUUAAUAUGUUGAAAGUUGUUCUAGCUCCUUGCAUAGAGACAUUGAUUCUUCUGGAUCGACUUUGCUACCUGAAAGAGCAGGAUGAGAUCAUGUGGUCUGCGCUUGUGAGGUUGUUUGAUCCUGUGAAAUCUCCCAGGUGUUAUGCCAUUAUUGCCCUGAAGAAGCAGCAAUGAUUUCAACUGAAGCAAGUUAAAGCUGAAAGUUCAAGUCAUUUUUUCCAAAAAUAACUAAACCUGGGAACUGCUAAAACUCAAAUGACAAUUAUGGACAAUAUUUAGAGAAAGCCACUCCAUGACAAGUCUGGAACAAGACAGACAAGAACAUUCUCAACAUCUGUCUUCUGACUAAUCUGUUAUUGCUACUUUGUAACAGAGACUACUUUCAGCCCUCUUUAAUUAUCCUGACUUCUAGAUUUUAAAAGAAGAACAGUCAUUGAAUGUCUCUAGCUUUUUUACAACCUCCAUUUCAAAACUGUAUACCUUGUGUUUUUAAAUCCUCGCUACAACCUUGCACUACAAGCCCAAGUCCUGUAAGAAGCUCCUAAGAACUCUUCUCUUACUGAGACAACCCACGAUUCUCCUGGAGUGCUUCUCUGCUGGCUUUAGUAGAGAGAGAAAUCUAACUUGGAUGGCAGUUUUGUGCUUAAUCUUCUCAGCUGAUGAGCUAUAAAAGUUUCUAGAUUGUCUUAGUGCAGGUUGGUGCUAAAGUACACUGAAGAGCAGUAUCAGGGAGAAAAUAAAUUCUAUUUCAGAUAUGUUACGUGUAGGAUGCUUCUGAGAAAUUCAAGUAAUACGAAAGAAGCACUGGUUCAAAAGGGUUUGUAGAACAAAGGGGGAGCCUGGAUGCAAAUUUCAAAGUUAUCAAGAGAGAGAUGGAAAUUAAAGCUGGAACAUGUGUGAGAUCACUCAGUACUAAAAGCAUAAGAAGAGAAUGAAGAAACUGAAACUCCAGUGUUAAGCUUCUGUAGAGAAGGCGGAACAGCAAUGGGGGCUGAGAAAGCACAUCCAAAGAUAAAGCAGAAAACCAGGGGCAGAUCACCACAUGAGUCAAGGAAGAGGAUAUUUCACGGCCUAUGGAGUAACCAAUGGCUGAAAGUCAUUUGAAAGAUCAAGUAACAAGAGAAUGGAAAACUUCUUCUUGGAGUCCAUCCAUCGUUGAUACUUUUUGUGAGAGGUUUUUCAGAACUUUGAUGAAAGCAGAAGUCAGAAUGCGGAGAAGUAUAAGGGAUGAACACAGCCAGCCAUGUUUUAUACCGGAGACUCUUGGGACCAUAGGUGAUUGAAAUGUGAGUACACACCUGGUCAAUGUAUCCUGGAUCCUUGAUGAGACCUGGCCCUACAAGAAGAGUUGAACCAGUCAGAUUCUCCCUUUCUCGGGAAUUUGAAAUAGACAGCAAUAUGGGGUGAGAGUUGAAAGGUCCUGCUAUAUGAAGAGAUUAUAGAGGCAGUUGUUUGAUCAUGUGAGCCCAAAGUUAUGAGGGUCAGAAAUUAUGAAUGAGCCGAGAAAGAGGCCCUUAGAGAGAAAGAGAGAAAGCCAAUACAAAGAGAGAACCAGAAAGGCCAAAAGAUUCAGGGAGAUGGAGAGAACGUAUGACUUCCAAGCAUUGCUUCCCAGAAGCCAAAAGAGACGCUUUGGCCUCCCACUGUCUGUUUUCUCUCCGCCCUCCGCGAACUCUUCUGUAUUUGUCCUUUAACUGUUGUUGGUUUGUUUAGUUGCUAAGUUGUGUCCGAC